GCACUGCUGAAGAGUCCCAUACUAGGACGAAACGGCCGUCCACUGC
rnacentral:hammerhead_ribozyme from 1 species